CUUUGGAGGUUGUCCUGGAACUCGCUCUGUAGACCAGGCUGGCCUCGAACUCACAGAAAUCUGCCUGCCUCUACCUCCUGAGUGCUGGGAUUAAAGUCGUGUGCCACCAACGCCCGGCUGGCCCUGGGUUCUCUAGGAGACAGAUCUUCCCUCCUUUGCCUCCUCAGUCUAAGUCUAUUAUCUUUCAACACAUGACUGGGGUCACCUGAGGGAGUGACUUUUGGAAGAACCCACUAGAAAGCCACUGAUGGGGAAACUGAGGCUCCUUCAGUACCAAGAGGCUCCAAGUGGACCAUCCCUCCUGCCUGCCUGCAGCUCCCCUCCUCAGCGCCCCCCUCCCCGAUCUUCACAUGUAGACCUGCUAGGCUGGAUGUGUUUCCACCUACCUAGUGCCUGCCUCCCCCUGGACUGCCAUCUGACCCUUGACCCUGAUGCAUCUCUCCAGCUAGACAGCCAAAGACUUGAUCGAGUGCAGACAUCAUCACUACUUCCUGUCUGAGGAUCUGAAGCCUUUCCAGAUCUUAACUGGCCAGAGGCCAGAAAAGGGCAGCUCAUUACCUGGAACUAGUGUUACAGAAGAUUGAGCCACCAUGUCGAUGCUGGGAAUCAAAUCUUGGUAUCUGGAAGAGUAUCCAAUAUAUUUAACCACUGAGAUCCUCUCCAACCCCUGGAAUUCAGUUUUAAAUAGAUUUCAAGGGAUGUGCAUAUUUAAUAGUCUUGGUCAACAUGUAGUCGGAAUUUAUCACACUUAUCACUGAGCCACCAAUGCCUCCUCUAGUUACACUUGUAAGAUGGUCUAACAAGUUGCCAGAACUGUACGAAACCCUUCUGAGAGGUAAGUUCCUCCUGACUGACACCGAGUUCCAGCCUUUUUGUUCUUUCAACAUGAGACUCUAUAGCAUUGCAGUCUUCUCUCCUCCCAGGAUGGUUACAGUCCUGAGUCCUAACAAAGCCAGGCCCCUGAAACAAGAUCUCACAAGGCUUCCCAAUGUGUCAGACCAUCUCUUUGUCUGAGAGAUGGGGCACGGUCCCUUUGAGCUGUUGAGGAUGGAAUGGGAAAUUUAGGGAAAGUGCCUGACUGGUAGAGUUAGGAAUAAAGUUCUCUCUGUGCAUGGUUCA